rnacentral:rRNA from 1 species
AACGAACGCUGGCGGCAGGCCUAACACAUGCAAGUCGAGCGAAGCCUUCGGGCUUAGCGGCGGACGGGUGAGUAACGCGUGGGAACGUGCCCUUUGGUACGGAAUAGCCCCGGGAAACUGGGAGUAAUACCGUAUGUGGUCGAGAGACGAAAGAUUUAUCGCCAAAGGAUCGGCCCGCGUUGGAUUAGGUAGUUGGUGGGGUAAUGGCCUACCAAGCCGACGAUCCUUAGCUGGUUUGAGAGGAUGAUCAGCCACACUGGGACUGAGACACGGCCCAGACUCCUACGGGAGGCAGCAGUGGGGAAUCUUAGACAAUGGGGGAAACCCUGAUCUAGCCAUGCCGCGUGAGCGAUGAAGGCCUUAGGGUUGUAAAGCUCUUUCAGGUGGGAAGAUAAUGACGGUACCACCAGAAGAAGCCCCGGCUAACUCCGUGCCAGCCGCCGCGGUAACAC